rnacentral:lncRNA from 1 species
AUUUAGGUAAGAUAGCAAAAGUUAUAUAAAACUUACACGGUAAUCCCGUAUUUCAGAUCAAAUUCUCAUAACUAGCAUUUAAUAUCAUAACAAAAUAACAAGCUUCAGACGCGUCUGAACAAACACGUCUAAACUUAACAAAGAUCUUCUGCAUCUUAAAUCUAAACAAUUUUGGGUUAAUGUUUGCAUCAUUGACAGCAAAAUAAUAAACACAAUAAUAAUACAACUCCUUUGAUGAAAGAGACGCUUGGGAUACCCAGAAUUUUCCAUUGAAAAGACAAGGUUUAUUCAUCCACAAGGAAAAAUAUUACAAGACGGCUCCUAUUUCUAAGAAGCUGCAAAGAAGAAUUCUCAUUUUCUCUUUUCCUCGUAUUCUUUUGACACGCUCAUGCGUUAACUUCCAAUAGCUUCAUACAGAUAUUUGAUCUGCACCCUAAUAUUCAUUCUGCAGGCUGCACAGCAACAACACGUUCAUAAAAAUUUUACCGUUAGAGAGAUUAAUUAGCAUCUCAAUUUAGUUACAUCCAAGUCAAACUUGCAGCAGUUCGAUACCAAAGUUAUCUGGAAUUCCCUAGGCAGACCAGCUUAAUCUGACCUUUGCCUCAGCUGAAAUCCCUUGCAGACCUUUGCUCUUAACAUCCAAUUGCAUACAGUCGAUUCAUCAUACAAUAGAAGUUUAUUCGCCCCUGAAGUCA